GAAAGGAAACAAAAACUGCUAAUUUUAUCUACUGGUACUAGCCCAUCAGCCUUUCCA
rnacentral:tRNA from 1 species